rnacentral:rRNA from 1 species
GGGUGAUCUGCCCUGCACUUCGGGAUAAGCCUGGGAAACUGGGUCUAAUACCGGAUAUGACCUCAGGUUGCAUGACUUGGGGUGGAAAGAUUUAUCGGUGCAGGAUGGGCCCGCGGCCUAUCAGCUUGUUGGUGGGGUAAUGGCCUACCAAGGCGACGACGGGUAGCCGACCUGAGAGGGUGACCGGCCACACUGGGACUGAGACACGGCCCAGACUCCUACGGGAGGCAGCAGUGGGGAAUAUUGCACAAUGGGCGAAAGCCUGAUGCAGCGACGCCGCGUGAGGGAUGACGGCCUUCGGGUUGUAAACCUCUUUCAGCAGGGACGAAGCGCAAGUGACGGUACCUGCAGAAGAGGCACCGGCUAACUACGUGCCAGCAGCCGCGGUAAUACGUAGGGUGCAAGCGUUGUCCGGAAUUACUGGGCGUAAAGAGUUCGUAGGCGGUUUGUCGCGUCGUUUGUGAAAACCAGCAGCUCAACUGCUGGCUUGCAGGCGAUACGGGCAGACUUGAGUACUGCAGGGGAGACUGGAAUUCCUGGU